rnacentral:rRNA from 1 species
GACGAACGCUGGCGGCGUGCUUAACACAUGCAAGUCGAACGAUGAAGCCUAGCUUGCUAGGUGGAUUAGUGGCGAACGGGUGAGUAAUACGUGAGUGACCUACCUUUGACUCUGGGAUAAGCCUGGGAAACUGGGUCUAAUACCGGAUACGACCAAUCUCCGCAUGGGGUGUUGGUGGAAAGCGUUAUGGAGUGGUUUUAGAUGGGCUCACGGCCUAUCAGCUUGUUGGUGAGGUAAUGGCUUACCAAGGCGACGACGGGUAGCCGGCCUGAGAGGGUGACCGGCCACACUGGGACUGAGACACGGCCCAGACUCCUACGGGAGGCAGCAGUGGGGAAUAUUGCACAAUGGGCGCAAGCCUGAUGCAGCGACGCCGCGUGAGGGAUGACGGCCUUCGGGUUGUAAACCUCUGUUAGCAUCGAAGAAGCGAAAGUGACGGUAGGUGCAGAGA